rnacentral:vault_RNA from 1 species
GCAUCGGUUUAGCUCAUCGGUUACUUCUUACCCUGAAGUUUCCAUUCUGCGGACCGCGGGCUGCAGGGUUCGACCGUGGGCGCUGCCCGAUGUUUUA